rnacentral:rRNA from 1 species
GACGAACGCUGGUGGCGUGCUUAACACAUGCAAGUCGAGCGAGGCGUCCGCCUCCGGGCGGUCAGCCGAGCGGCGAACGGGUGAGUAACACGUGAGCAAUCUUCCCUAGGCUCGGGGAUAACCUCGGGAAACUGAGGCUAAUACCGGAUGAGCGUUUUUCGGGACAUCCCGGAAAACGAAAAGGUUUCGCAUCGCGAGGUGCGUUUCCGGCCUUGGAUGAGCUCGCGGCCUAUCAGCUUGUUGGUGUGGUAAAUGCGCACCAAGGCGACGACGGGUAGCCGGCCUGAGAGGGUGCUCGGCCACACUGGGACUGAGACACGGCCCAGACUCCUACGGGAGGCAGCAGUGAGGAAUCUUGCGCAAUGGGCGAAAGCCUGACGCAGCAACGCCACGUGGGGGAUGACGGCCUUCGGGUUGUAAACCUCUUUCGGUCUUGACGAAGGCAUCCUUGCUAGGGGUGUUGACGGUAGGGACAGAAGAAGCACCGGCUAACUACGUGCCAGCAGCCGCGGUAACAC